rfam:Schistosoma mansoni strain Puerto Rico chromosome 3, complete genome
GCACUGCUGAGGAGUCCCAUAAUAGGAUGACACGGCCGUCCAGUGC